rnacentral:ncRNA from 2 species
GUCUUAUCGAGAAAGGUAGAGGGAACAGGCCCGACGACACCUUAGCAACCGUCCCGCUUUAGCGGGAAAGGUGCUACAUCCUGCUCUCCGGUUAGCCGGGGGGAAAGAUAAGAG